rnacentral:rRNA from 1 species
GUGGGGAAUUUUGGACAAUGGGGGCAACCCUGAUCCAGCCAUCCCGCGUGUGCGAUGAAGGCCUUCGGGUUGUAAAGCACUUUUGGCAGGGAAGAAAAGUUUCGGGCUAAUACCCUGGAGCGAUGACGGUACCUGCAGAAUAAGCACCGGCUAACUACGUGCCAGCAGCCGCGGUAAUACGUAGGGUGCAAGCGUUAAUCGGAAUUACUGGGCGUAAAGCGUGCGCAGGCGGUUCGGAAAGAAAGAUGUGAAAUCCCAGGGCUUAACCUUGGAACUGCAUUUUUAACUGGCGAACUCGAGUAUGUCAGAGGGGGGUAUAAUUCCACGUGUAGCAGUGAAAUGCGUAGAGAUGUGGAGGAAUACCGAUGGCGAAGGCAGCCCCCUGGGAUAAUACUGACGCUCAUGCACGAAAGCGUGGGGAGCAAACAGGAUUAGAAACCCGAGUAGUCC